rnacentral:rRNA from 1 species
GAUGAACGCUAGCGGCAGGCCUAACACAUGCAAGUCGAGGGGUAACAGGGAUUGCUUGCAAUCCGCUGACGACCGGCGCACGGGUGCGUAACGCGUAUACAAUCUGCCUUAUACUGGGGUAUAGCCUUUAGAAAUGAAGAUUAAUCCCCCAUAGUCUCUAUUUAUGGCCUCAUAAAAAGAGUAAAGGUAACGGUAUAAGAUGAGUAUGCGUUCUAUUAGUUUGUUGGUAAGGUAACGGCUUACCAAGACUACGAUAGAUAGGGGCCCUGAGAGGGGGAUCCCCCACACUGGUACUGAGACACGGACCAGACUCCUACGGGAGGCAGCAGUGAGGAAUAUUGGACAAUGGAGGCAACUCUGAUCCAGCCAUGCCGCGUGCAGGAAGACUGCCCUAUGGGUUGUAAACUGCUUUUAUACAGGAAGAAACACUCUCACGUGUGAGGGCUUGACGGUACUGUAAGAAUAAGGAUCGGCUAACUCCGUG